rnacentral:lncRNA from 1 species
GGGUGAGAGAUCCUUUCUCCCUAAGUUGCUUUUGGUCAUGGGGUUUGUUACAGAGGCAGGAAGCAAACUACAACACCACGCUGGAGCAGCAAACGUAACCAUGUGAGCUAUCACGCACCAGCUCCUUCCUUAUUUCUGAUCACCCUGGACUCAGUUAGCCCGGCUUCCCACAGUAAGACUGUGUCUAGACUGUGGGGACAACAGGCUGGGAGCCAGGAAUGGACCUCAAGCCUACGAGAGCAUCCAAGCUGGUGAAUAGUAGGGGUUCUGGCAGGCUGAACUGCGGGGCAUGCAACUGCAGGGGGAUGAUCUUUAUAGCAGUCGAGAGUAUGUCCAGGUUCACACCUGGCCAAGAAAUAAAUUCAAGGCAAUUAGGAUAGAUAAACACAAACAGGAAAAUGAUGUGACAGGCCCCAGAGCUUAAACCCAUAAAGCGAUGGCCCUGGAGAUGUUCUGGUCUCACGGCUUUGCGCUCAUCAGACCACUGAAUUCUCAGGGCAUAUAAAGCAAGUAUGGACAUUUAAGGUGGCCGCUGGGGUUAGAGGGAGACACCAGCAGAGCAGAACAGGGGGACGAGGGACAGGCACACAGUCGGGCAGCUUCAGAGAAAAGAUGAGAUGCGGGGUGCACCUUGUAGCUGUGGCAAGAUGGGCAGGAUGCAGAAAGGGUGGGUGAUUGACAGGCCGAGCACCAAGAGGAGCAGGCUUGCUGUGCUGCGUCUGGGAGCCAAGGCCGCCCCAUUUCACAAAUCCGUUUUCUUGGAUUCCAGCCCUACUACUAUGUUUGGCCUUGGGCUGUUGUCUUGCAAGGGGGGGGGGGGCCAAACUGGGUGGCUAAUGCAAAGCCUGAGAUGAUGGAUGCACGCUCUUGCUGCAUCUGAAGACCCAUGACCUGGAGCCUCACUCUUUAAAGGGAAGCCUGUGAAACAACAGAGAGAAGGCACACCAGGGCUGGGCAGCAGAAAGCACUGGGGGCUCAGAAAGGCACUGAGAAGAUGGAAGCCUAGCUGAUGCAGCCAGGAGAGCAGUGACUGGGGAAGCUCCCAAAUCAUAGCUCAGGCUUUACUAAUACCUUUGAACCUUCCGAUGACUGGAACAGAGUUGAAAUUUAUCAGAAAAUAGAAAAACAGCUUUGGCACAGCACUACCAGUCAUCAUGUACGUCUCUGAAUAACAAAUGUUCAUCUCUAGGUCAUGCCUCCAGAUGUGUAAUUGAAGAUACUAACUGGGUAAGAAGGAAGGUUACCCAAGGGUAAACGGGGCAUACUCAGUCCGGACCUACUCUGUGGAGGGCUAGCACCAGCUCCCGGGAUGCGUCAAGGUGUGAUAUCUCACUGUUGCAACUUCUUUCUCCCCUUCAAACAAGUAGCUUUUCUGAAUUUCAGAUGAAUGAACAACUUAAAGUUCCAGGGGAACAAAGCGCUGUUCUGGAUGAUUCCGCCAGCACCACUCCCUCUUCCAGUUCAGCUUCACAGUAAAUGUUUAAUAUUCUGCCUUCUUAGAACUCUAGAAACAUUUGACAGGGUUAUUUGUGAGGUUCAGCUUAAAAGUAAUGCCAGUAACACAGAUAAAAAUAGUUGGGUGAAAGGGGGCGCUCCUUUUCAACAUUUUUUAUUUUUAACAUGCUUGCUCUCACACUGCACGUUCGCAGGCUAUCCAGGGGUGAAGAGUGGGCACACAGCGAACUUUGAGAAAUGCACAUAAUAUGAAUCUCAAGGAAAGAGAAAAGCCACGAAAUCUAUACUAAGCGGA